rnacentral:rRNA from 1 species
UUGGAGGGCAAGUCUGGUGCCAGCAGCCGCGGUAAUUCCAGCUCCAAUAGCGUAUAUUAAAGUUGUUGCAGUUAAAAAGCUCGUAGUUGAAUUUCGGGAUCAAUGUUUCGGUCUUGCCGUUGGUAUGUACUGAUAUUAUUGAUUUCUCACCUUCUAAAGAACCGUAAUGCCAUUAAUUUGGUGUCACGGGGAAUUAGGACUGUUACCUUGAAAAAAUUAGAGUGUUUAAAGCAGGCUCACGCUUGAAUACAUUAGCAUGGAAUAAUGAAAUAGGACAUCCGAUUCUAUUUUGUUGGUUUCUAGGAUCGAUGUAAUGAUUAAUAGGGAUAGUUGGGGGCAUUAGUAUUCAAUUGUCAGUGGUGAAAUUCUUGGAUUUAUUGAAGACUAACUACUGCGAAAGCAUUUGCCAAGGAUGUUUUCAUUAAUCAAGAACGAAAGUUAGGGGAUCGAAGACGAUCAGAUACCGUCGUAGUCUUAACCAUAAACUAUGCCGACUAGGGAUCGGAUGAUGUUAAUUUUUUAAUGACUCGUUCGGCGCCUUACGGGAAACCAAAGUGUUUGGGUUC